AUUGGGUUGUUUUUAAAACUUGAAUUGUUUUUAGUCCCUCUCUCAAAUCCUCUCCGAAAACUCUCAAACAAUCUGCCAAAUGUGGUUCUAGAACUGUUUCUUGAAUAUUUCCGAUCGUUCAUGGAAUUUUGAUGCUCAAAACUGGAAGA